AUGGAUUAUUCGAGCUCAGAUUUUGCUAAAUUGAAAUACAUUGAUACAUUAACUUCUACUAAUUCGAAAGGAUCAAUCCCAUCUUAACUCACACACCGACUUGAUAAGUCAUGACUGCACUCAAAAAUCUUCUGUCACUGAAUUAUAAACUCAGAUAGUCUGACAUCAAAGUACAGUGAGUUGCUUGCAAAUCACCAUGGUGAUC
rnacentral:lncRNA from 1 species